AUUCAGUUGACGAGUCCUAAAUAGGAUGGAACGCGUGUCUUGUAU
rnacentral:hammerhead_ribozyme from 1 species